UUACCAAAAACAUCGCCUUUAGAAAAAAGAUUAAAGGUUCUGCCUGCCCGGUGACAAUAGUUAAACGGCUGCAGUAUUACUGACUGUGCAAAGGUAGCAUAAUCAUUCGCCUGUUAAUUGCAGGCUAGUAUCAACGGCUAGACGACAGAGAAGCUGUCUCCCCUUAUAUAAUUUGAAAUUAACCUUAAGGUGAAGAGACCUUAAUAAUGUAGUGGGACGAGAAGACCCUAUAGAGCUUUACCUAUAUAAUUUUAAAUUUUGAAUUAGUAGGUUUGGUUGGGGCAACCUCCUCUUUUUUAAAGCAGGGGAUAAUCAAAAUGUAUUAAAACAAAUAACAAGACCCAAAACUUUUUGAUCAAAAGAAAAAGUUACCUUAGGGAUAACAGCGUAA
rnacentral:rRNA from 1 species